UACGGAGGGUGCAAGCGUUAAUCGGAAUUACUGGGCGUAAAGCGUGCGCAGGCGGUUAUGCAAGACAGAUGUGAAAUCCCCGGGCUUAACCUGGGAACUGCAUUUGUGACUGCAUAGCUGGAGUACGGUAGAGGGGGAUGGAAUUCCGCGUGUAGCAGUGAAAUGCGUAGAUAUGCGGAGGAACACCGAUGGCGAAGGCAGUCCCCUGGACCUGUACUGACGCUCAUGCACGAAAGCGUGGGGAGCAAACAGG
rnacentral:rRNA from 1 species